UUAGCAGCGUAGAAAGGAUAAUUCGUGUUCCAUAAAACACCGGAUGAAAUUCUCAAAGUCGUUGCCGGUCACGAACAAAAAUCAAUCAUCUAGUUACAUUGCAUGAUCCCUAUAUUCGAACUAAAGGAAGACAAAAGUGUUCGGAUAACGGAGUUUUCAGAGAACGGAACAAUUUCUUUACAAAUUAGUAAAAAGAAAAAUAGAAAACUUUGCAAUCUGUACAGUACUUAAGAAACCAAAAAAAGAAUUUAAACUUAUACACUAUGGUUAAGGGAUUAAGAGUUUACUGCUAGCAGUAAACCUUCACAGAAACUGGGCUAAUUUCCCUGGGAAGUUACUUCCGAGGAGCGACGUUCUAGUUUUUAUCGGAUCAAGAAAUCGAGCGGCGAAAAUUCGGAAUUUCUUUCGGUUAUAAUCGGGGAUGUUUGUAAGUGCAGAAUAUUUAUGUUCGACUGUUUUUCAAUGCGAAAACCUAUUUUAUUUAGAAAUAUUACUGUACCAUCUAAUAUACUUUUUAGUUUUACACAUCGGCCACCAUUUCAGCAGCCACAAAGAUUAGGUAAAAUUAAGUCAUUUUAUUCAAUAAUACGAAAACUGCGAAUUUAAAGAUGUAUGUUCAGCCCGUGGAUGUUCACGCAAAAUAAAAAUCGUCUACAUUGAUUACAAGACACAA